rnacentral:rRNA from 1 species
AAGAGACAGCAGUAGCCGCGGUAAUACGAAGGGUGCAAGCAUUACUCGGAAUUACUGGGCGUAAAGCGUGCGUAGGUGGUGGUUUAAGUCCGUUGUGAAAGCCCUGGGCUCAACCUGGGAAUUGCAGUGGAUACUGGGUCACUAGAGUGUGGUAGAGGAUAGUGGAAUUUCCGGUGUAGCAGUGAAAUGCGUAGAGAUCGGAAGGAACAUCUGUGGCGAAGGCGACUAUCUGGGCCAACACUGACACUGAGGCGCGAAAGCGUGGGGAGCAAACAGGAUUAGAUACCCCUGUAGUCCCUGUCUCUUAUAC